AGACCGUACUAAUCUCCUGAAAAAUAGAGAUAAACUACAAAUAACAAGACCAGGAGAAGAAUUUCCAGCAAUUAUCUUGAACUAUAAUAAAGAAAAUAUACAAUUAAAAAGAAUACUUACAAGACACUGGCAUCUAUUGAAAAAAGAUAAAAUGCUGGCUGGCAGCUUACCGGUAAGACCUAAAAUUAUUUUUAGGGGUGCACCGAAUUUAAGAAGGAAAAUAACAAAUAAACAUCUAAAAGGAAGAAAUGUUCCUACUACAACAAAGAAGAAUGGUUUCUUUUAUUGUUUAGACUGCAUUGCAUGUAAAGAAAGCAAACACAAACAAACAAAAGGAGUAUUUGAAGUUACUAACAAUAACUGCAAGAAAAAGAGAGAAUCUUUUAAAAUAAAAGAUCACACAUCAUCUGCCAUAGCACUAACGUGAUAUAUGUACUGGAGUGCCCAUGCGGGCUCCAGUAUGUAGGAAGAACAAAGAGGCAAUUGUAUGUUAGAAUCAGAGAACACAUGCUGAAUAUAAAGAAAGGUUAUAUGCAACACUUGGUUUCAGCCCAUUUCAAGCAGCAUCACAAUUCAGAUAUGAGCCUUCUGAACUUUAAGGGGAUAUGUAAAGUAAAUAAAAACUGGAGAGGAGGAGAUCAUAAUAAACAAUUGGGCAUUACCGAGAUGAAAUGGAUUUAUAAAUUAGAUACGUUGCAGCCUAAGGGACUUAAUGCUGAGUUUGAGCUGUGCCAUUUUUUGGGAUGAAUUCCCCCCUUUUUUCUUUUUUUUUUUUUUUGUGGUUUAUAUUUUUUCCGUGCA